GUGCGAAACUCCCCGCCGCUUGGGGAGUCGCCGGGGCGUGGCGGCCUCGGCCUGAUGAGCAGCCAAAA
rnacentral:hammerhead_ribozyme from 1 species